UACGGGGGGGGCAAGCGUUGUUCGGAAUUACUGGGCGUAAAGGGCUCGUAGGUGGCCAACUAAGUCAGACGUGAAAUCCCUCGGCUUAACCGGGGAACUGCGUCUGAUACUGGAUGGCUUGAGUUCGGGAGAGGGAUGCGGAAUUCCAGGUGUAGCGGUGAAAUGCGUAGAUAUCGGGAGGAACACCAGUGGCGAAGGCGACUUCCUGGCCUGUUCUUGACGCUGAGGCGCGAAAGCUAGGGGAGCAAACGGG
rnacentral:rRNA from 1 species